rnacentral:rRNA from 1 species
GAUGAACGCUAGCUACAGGCUUAACACAUGCAAGUCGAGGGGCAUCAGGAAGAAAGCUUGCUUUCUUUGCUGGCGACCGGCGCACGGGUGAGUAACACGUAUCCAACCUGCCCUUUACUCGGGGAUAGCCUUUCGAAAGAAAGAUUAAUACCCGAUGGCAUAAUGAUUCCGCAUGGUUUCAUUAUUAAAGGAUUCCGGUAAAGGAUGGGGAUGCGUUCCAUUAGGUUGUUGGUGAGGUAACGGCUCACCAAGCCUUCGAUGGAUAGGGGUUCUGAGAGGAAGGUCCCCCACAUUGGAACUGAGACACGGUCCAAACUCCUACGGGAGGCAGCAGUGAGGAAUAUUGGUCAAUGGGCGUUAGCCUGAACCAGCCAAGUAGCGUGAAGGAUGAAGGCUCUAUGGGUCGUAAACUUCUUUUAUAUAAGAAUAAAGUGCAGUAUGUAUACUGUUUUGUAUGUAUUAUAUGAAUAAGGAUCGGCUAACUCCGUGCCAGCAGCCGCGGUAAUACGGAGGAUCCGAGCGUUAUCCGGAUUUAUUGGGUUUAAAGGGAGCGUAGGUGGACUGGUAAGUCAGUUGUGAAAGUUUGCGGCUCAACCGUAAAAUUGCAGUUGAUACUGUCAGUCUUGAGUACAGUAGAGGUGGGCGGAAUUCGUGGUGUAGCGGUGAAAUGCUUAGAUAUCACGAAGAACUCCGAUUGCGAAGGCAGCUCACUGGACUGCAACUGACACUGAUGCUCGAAAGUGUGNGUAUCANACAGG